CGUGUGUGUGCACCUACAUGCAGAUGCCUAAGGAAGCCAGCACCAGCUCCAUCUGUCUCUGCUUCCUGUGAGAGAAAAGAACAUUUGGAUCCCCUGGAGCUGGAGUUACAGGAAGUGUGAACAUCUUGUGCUAUCUGUGGCCACCUCAGGCUUCUCACCAUCAUCAGCAUAGUCUGCAAGGCCACACAGCACACAGGCCAAAGCACUGCAGCCCCAGCAGGUGUAUACACACUGCCCACACAGGGCCCGCUCACACUGGCUGCAGACCGCCUUCCCAUCCACAGAUCUUAUGCAUGACGAACAAGCGAUGGGCGCUGUCCUGGGAAGGCCACCUUCUGAGGCCUGAGCUUGGCACCGUGUCAGUCGGCUAUCAGAUCCAAUCAACAUCUGUCCUCUCGCAGUUUGAGGGGCUCCCACCACACCAGACUUCAGUGACUCCCGCAGGUGGUUCACGGAACAAAUCUUCGCUCGAUAUGUGAUCUCUAUAGGCCCGAACCCCUUGGAAAAGGAGCUGCUUGGUUCUUUCGAAGACCUCGUGUGAGUAGCGCUCGGCGAACACACCGUGGCUCAGCAUUUUCAGGCCCACGUGGCCUUUGAGUUGGAGCGGGGCUGCGUCUGCAAACGGGCAGCUCCACUUGGGCAUGGCAGCGGGUACCAGACACAGCCCUCAGCAGCGCGCAGCGCGUAGAGCACACGUCACGGCGCCCUCG
rnacentral:lncRNA from 1 species